UAAGGGCGCACGGUGGAUGCCUUGGCACUAGAAGCCGAUGAAGGACGUUACUAACGACGAUAUGCUUUGGGGAGCUGUAAGUAAGCUUUGAUCCAGAGAUUUCCGAAUGGGGAAACCCAGCAUGAGUUAUGUCAUGUUAUCGAUAUGUGAAUACAUAGCAUAUCAGAAGGCACACCCGGAGAACUGAAACAUCUUAGUACCCGGAGGAAGAGAAAGAAAAUUCGAUUCCCUUAGUAGCGGCGAGCGAAACGGGAAGAGCCCAAACCAACAAGCUUGCUUGUUGGGGUUGUAGGACACUCUAUACGGAGUUACAAAGGACGACAUUAGACGAAUCAUCUGGAAAGAUGAAUCAAAGAAGGUAAUAAUCCUGUAGUCGAAAAUGUUGUCUCUCUUGAGUGGAUCCUGAGUACGACGGAGCACGUGAAAUUCCGUCGGAAUCUGGGAGGACCAUCUCCUAAGGCUAAAUACUCUCUAGUGACCGAUAGUGAACCAGUACCGUGAGGGAAAGGUGAAAAGCACCCCGGAAGGGGAGUGAAAUAGAACCUGAAACCGUGUGCUUACAAGUAGUCAGAGCCCGUUAAUGGGUGAUGGCGUGCCUUUUGUAGAAUGAACCGGCGAGUUACGAUUUGAUGCAAGGUUAAGCAGUAAAUGUGGAGCCGUAGCGAAAGCGAGUCUGAAUAGGGCGUUUAGUAUUUGGUCGUAGACCCGAAACCAGGUGAUCUACCCUUGGUCAGGUUGAAGUUCAGGUAACACUGAAUGGAGGACCGAACCGACUUACGUUGAAAAGUGAGCGGAUGAACUGAGGGUAGCGGAGAAAUUCCAAUCGAACCUGGAGAUAGCUGGUUCUCUCCGAAAUAGCUUUAGGGCUAGCCUCAAGUGAUGAUUAUUGGAGGUAGAGCACUGUUUGGACGAGGGGCCCCUCUCGGGUUACCGAAUUCAGACAAACUCCGAAUGCCAAUUAAUUUAACUUGGGAGUCAGAACAUGGGUGAUAAGGUCCGUGUUCGAAAGGGAAACAGCCCAGACCACCAGCUAAGGUCCCAAAAUAUAUGUUAAGUGGAAAAGGAUGUGGCGUUGCCCAGACAACUAGGAUGUUGGCUUAGAAGCAGCCAUCAUUUAAAGAGUGCGUAAUAGCUCACUAGUCGAGUGACACUGCGCCGAAAAUGUACCGGGGCUAAACAUAUUACCGAAGCUGUGGAUUGUCCUUUGGACAAUGGUAGGAGAGCGUUCUAAGGGCGUUGAAGCAUGAUCGUAAGGACAUGUGGAGCGCUUAGAAGUGAGAAUGCCGGUGUGAGUAGUGAAAGACGGGUGAGAAUCCCGUCCACCGAUUGACUAAGGUUUCCAGAGGAAGGCUCGUCCGCUCUGGGUUAGUCGGGUCCUAAGCUGAGGCCGACAGGCGUAGGCGAUGGAUAACAGGUUGAUAUUCCUGUACCACCUAUAAUCGUUUUAAUCGAUGGGGGGACGCAGUAGGAUAGGCGAAGCGUGCGAUUGGAUUGCACGUCUAAGCAGUAAGGCUGAGUAUUAGGCAAAUCCGGUACUCGUUAAGGCUGAGCUGUGAUGGGGAGAAGACAUUG
rnacentral:rRNA from 1 species